AAAUUGAAGAGUUUGAUCAUGGCUCAGAUUGAACGCUGGCGGCAGGCCUAACACAUGCAAGUCGAACGGUAACAGGAAGCAGCUUGCUGCUUUGCUGACGAGUGGCGGACGGGUGAGUAAUGUCUGGGAAACUGCCUGAUGGAGGGGGAUAACUACUGGAAACGGUAGCUAAUACCGCAUAACGUCGCAAGACCAAAGAGGGGGACCUUCGGGCCUCUUGCCAUCGGAUGUGCCCAGAUGGGAUUAGCUAGUAGGUGGGGUAACGGCUCACCUAGGCGACGAUCCCUAGCUGGUCUGAGAGGAUGACCAGCCACACUGGAACUGAGACACGGUCCAGACUCCUACGGGAGGCAGCAGUGGGGAAUAUUGCACAAUGGGCGCAAGCCUGAUGCAGCCAUGCCGCGUGUAUGAAGAAGGCCUUCGGGUUGUAAAGUACUUUCAGCGGGGAGGAAGGGAGUAAAGUUAAUACCUUUGCUCAUUGACGUUACCCGCAGAAGAAGCACCGGCUAACUCCGUGCCAGCAGCCGCGGUAAUACGGAGGGUGCAAGCGUUAAUCGGAAUUACUGGGCGUAAAGCGCACGCAGGCGGUUUGUUAAGUCAGAUGUGAAAUCCCCGGGCUCAACCUGGGAACUGCAUCUGAUACUGGCAAGCUUGAGUCUCGUAGAGGGGGGUAGAAUUCCAGGUGUAGCGGUGAAAUGCGUAGAGAUCUGGAGGAAUACCGGUGGCGAAGGCGGCCCCCUGGACGAAGACUGACGCUCAGGUGCGAAAGCGUGGGGAGCAAACAGGAUUAGAUACCCUGGUAGUCCACGCCGUAAACGAUGUCGACUUGGAGGUUGUGCCCUUGAGGCGUGGCUUCCGGAGCUAACGCGUUAAGUCGACCGCCUGGGGAGUACGGCCGCAAGGUUAAAACUCAAAUGAAUUGACGGGGGCCCGCACAAGCGGUGGAGCAUGUGGUUUAAUUCGAUGCAACGCGAAGAACCUUACCUGGUCUUGACAUCCACGGAAGUUUUCAGAGAUGAGAAUGUGCCUUCGGGAACCGUGAGACAGGUGCUGCAUGGCUGUCGUCAGCUCGUGUUGUGAAAUGUUGGGUUAAGUCCCGCAACGAGCGCAACCCUUAUCCUUUGUUGCCAGCGGUCCGGCCGGGAACUCAAAGGAGACUGCCAGUGAUAAACUGGAGGAAGGUGGGGAUGACGUCAAGUCAUCAUGGCCCUUACGACCAGGGCUACACACGUGCUACAAUGGCGCAUACAAAGAGAAGCGACCUCGCGAGAGCAAGCGGACCUCAUAAAGUGCGUCGUAGUCCGGAUUGGAGUCUGCAACUCGACUCCAUGAAGUCGGAAUCGCUAGUAAUCGUGGAUCAGAAUGCCACGGUGAAUACGUUCCCGGGCCUUGUACACACCGCCCGUCACACCAUGGGAGUGGGUUGCAAAAGAAGUAGGUAGCUUAACCUUCGGGAGGGCGCUUACCACUUUGUGAUUCAUGACUGGGGUGAAGUCGUAACAAGGUAACCGUAGGGGAACCUGCGGUUGGAUCACCUCCUUACCU
rnacentral:rRNA from 1 species